CUUAGUGGCGGACGGGUGAGUAACGCGUGGGCAACCUGCCCCGUGCCGGGGGAUACCGCCUGGAAACAGGCGCUAAUACCGCAUAAGCGCAUACAGCCGCAUGGCAGUAUGCGGAAAGCUCCGGCGGCACGGGAUGGGCCCGCGCCCGAUUAGCCAGUUGGCGGGGUAACGGCCCACCAAAGCGACGAUCGGUAGCCGGCCUGAGAGGGCGGACGGCCACAUUGGGACUGAGACACGGCCCAAACUCCUACGGAAGGCAGCAG
rnacentral:rRNA from 1 species